rnacentral:lncRNA from 1 species
CGUUAACAUUUUUUUUUCUGUAUUUGACUCUUAUUGCUAUUUUAAAUUGGAAGAAUCAGUUUCAGCAGAAUUCAGUUGUUGUGUAGCCUUUCCAAAUGCAUAAAUAGAGAUCCAGGACCUCUCACUGUGACCUUCUGCAGACUGUCUCAUGACGUGGCAGGUCUCCAGUGGGUGUGCUGGGACAGCCUACAUGAUCAUUCCAUCUCCCCAACUCAACCUACUUUACUGAGUUGCUCCAGUUUCUACUUCUGUCGGUGAAAAAGGGAUCAGUACUUGCCCCUGUAGUUUCUUCAGCCUUUUCUCUUGGUCUGAUACAAUGAUCUUCACUUUGAAAGAAGAAACAGAGACAUUUUUAACAGCAGAGAGACUUCACAAGUGCUGCCUGAAAAUUAUGGCUGUUCGCUCUCUAUGGACUAUUAACCUUGAUUGUAUGUCAACCAUAUAUUUUGUCUGAAUUUCUUACGCAAAUGAAUCUCACAUAUUGUUUUAUAUUGCUGUUAGUACUGCUGUGUGCCUCAGAGGCUUUAAUAAAACAUACCUGCACAUGGCCUACUUCUUUCUU